AUUCCAGGCUGUGGCUUGCCUUUUCACUUCUUGUGUCCUGUUUAAGAAAUAUCUGCUAUCCCAAGCAUCUGGCAUCUUUCUUGACAUACGUAGCAGUUGCUUUUUGACAGCUUGCUUCUGGAGUGAAUGAAUAAAUUAAUAAAUUUAUUCAUUUGAUAUUCAGUGACAUGUGAUAUUCAGUGAUCCAUUUUGCAGAUUGCAAACUCCUAGAGAAGGGCUCAACAGUGAGUGUUGAGGCUGCACAGAGGAGGAAGGUAGCACAAUGAUGGAAGGCUUCCUAAAGAGAUAACACUAACAAAGUUGACCUUAGAAUUGGAGUGCCCGGGUUAGAACCUUGCUGGUACCACCUGCUUACUGCAUGCUUCUGAUGUGAGUUCAGGAGAAGCCACUGGCAAGGACAGCAAAGAACAGGAGAACACUCUAGCUUCCCUGAUAGCAUUCAAGGCUCUUGAGUUUCUGCUUUCAAGUGACCCUCAGAAAUGCCCCCAUUCACUGCAGAGGUUCUGUUUCUCCUUGUUUUGUUCCGACUUUAUGGCAGAACUAGGUUAAUGAGUUAAUUACUAUGAGUUAUCACUUGGAUUUGAAGAACCAUCAUUUCUAGGCUUUGCUGCUCAGAGUGGGUUUGCCCUCAGGGGAAGCUAUCUAACCAGAGCCUAACCCACUAGGGUUUUAUCAGAACCUAACUGGCCUGAGGAAAAGAAAUAUUCAACUCCAGCAAGCUCCAGCCUUCCAAACGGAGGAGGAGAAAACCCAAAUCCAGCCCACUUCAGCUAUCUUGUCCCACAUAAAGGGGGAGUGGAAGAAACGUGAGAAGCAGGCAUGAAGUUCACAGUCCGGAGUGUAUUCCACACCAUUUCAUAUUCCAUCACAUUCCAUUCUACACAAUUCCACAUCUCCCCGGCCACGUCAGCCUGAGAGUAAUAAACAGGCCUUGCCAUCGUAUCCCCUUUUGGAGACACAAGCCAGGAAGGAAGCUCUUCAGUGCAGCUGUGAAUAGAGAAACGCUGGCUGAGGUUUUGGGGACACUGGGUGAUCAUUCCCAGUGAAAUUUUUAGAUCCCUGGGGACAUGAGCUGCUUUGUCUUUUCCAAGGACAGCAGAUAGAGCAUGAAUGAGACCCCCAAAGAAGGGAAGCAAAUGAGGCAAGCCCCACAAUUAUUCUGGCUUUUUACCUAGAGACAAUCUAUGAACUGUGGGGCAAACAACAAAGAUCAAAACAGCUUGGCAAUCUGAAUUGAGGAUGAAGACACCAUUAGGGGCAGAAGUACAGGUAGCUCAAAUUUGUGGAGCAAAGUACCAGAGAAGAUAAACUGCUCCAAAUUCCAUGAGGCUGGGCAAGGAAAAACUUUGUGGAAAGAAGAAUUAUCAGGGAGCCCUAAGCUGAAAAAUUGCCAGGGCUCAUACAGACCUGGGGAAUUGGUUGAGUUUAUGCCACCUAUAGGAUAGAGAACUUGCUGAAUGUUCAAGGAUUUUGUUACAGAUGCCAGAAAGAUGACACUUAAAGGGAUGCAAAACUAACAUCUCUGGAUUAGUCUUAAUAGAGUUUAAAAAUAAGCUUAGAAAAAGUCAAA
rnacentral:lncRNA from 1 species